AGGCAUGCAAGUCGAGCGAGAAGAGUCAUUUGCUUGCAUUUGACUCGGAAAGCGGCGUAAGGGUGAGUAACGCGUAGUUACCUACCCCCGGGUCCGGAAUAGCUGCGGGAAACUGCAGGUAAUGCCGGAUAACAUCUCAGGAUCAAAGGUGAGAUUCCGCCCGGGGAGGGGACUGCGUCCUACUAGCUUGUUGGUGGGGUAAUGGCCUACCAAGGCUUCGAUGGGUAGCGGGCGUGAGAGCGUGGCCCGUCUCACUGGGACUGAGACA
rnacentral:rRNA from 1 species